rnacentral:rRNA from 1 species
GCCUACGGGGGGCAGCAGUGAGGAAUAUUGGUCAAUGGGCGAGAGCCUGAACCAGCCAAGUCGCGUGAGGGAAGACGGUCCUAUGGAUUGUAAACCUCUUUUGCCGGGGAGCAAAAAGCGGUACGUGUACCGCAUCGAGAGUACCCGGAGAAAAAGCAUCGGCUAACUCCGUGCCAGCAGCCGCGGUAAUACGGAGGAUGCGAGCGUUAUCCGGAUUUAUUGGGUUUAAAGGGUGCGCAGGCGGCGAGUUAAGUCAGCGGUAAAAUUUCGGGGCUCAGCCCCGUACUGCCGUUGAAACUGCAUCC